UCAAUAAUACAUGAUUCUAUACAUUGGUUAUUCUCCAUGUUCCUUUUAAGACAUGGGGUUUUCCAGUAAACCUGCAGCACUGUGAUGAACUCUAAUGAGAUGAAUCCAAAGGUAUCAGUUGUUUUCUGCCAGCUGUAGCUCCCCGGUGAGAGGAAGUCAUUAUAACGUUUCACAGUGUGGUAGUUCACUCUGAUCUAAGACAAUCACCUAAAGCAUCAGUGAUGCACACGUGUUGGCUGUUUGAUGUGUCUUUCAUCAUUCCAACCAUCACAGCCUGGCUCUGUGAAGAUCAGCCUGGCUCUGUGAAGAUCAGCCUGGCUCUGUGAAAAUCAGCCUGGCUCUGUGAAAAUCAGCCUGGCUCUGUGAAGAUCAGCCUGGCUCUGAACAUCAGCCUGUCUUUGUGAAAAUCAGCCUGGCUCUGUGAAGAUCAAGCCUGACUCUGUGAAAAUCAGCUGGAUAAAGAGUUUUCUCGCUGAAUAGCAACUGAAUUGCGUUUAGGGAUGUGGAGUUCUGUUUUUGUUCCUUUGUAGUUGAAGCAAACACAGAUGUUCUGUAGCGUUGGCACGGUGAUAAACACUAGAGAGGUGGGGUGUAAACAACAGACUUGUUUACAGCCACUGGAACCAUCUAAUCUGUGUGGUUGAGCUUUUAUUUGACAUGUGCAAGGAGAGCUAAUCGCUCUGUGGUCAGAUGGAGAGACAUGGAUGGCUUCCCAGAUGCUGAUUCUGGUCCACGGCUUCAAGCAGAUGAUUAUUGAAAGAAGCAUGUUGUUCUCUCGUAGCUGUUCUCUACUGGGAAGAUCAGCGGGACCAAAGCAGCGAAGCUCAAAGCCAGUUUCAGCCUCCUCCAUGACACCUUGAAAAGGUCUCAGCAGUCAGAGAUCCGGCUGCUGCAGGAGGCCAAGCAGUUCAGAGCAGAGCUGGAGCGCCAGCAGAGAGAUCUGGAGACGGCUGAGCAGUUCCCUGAGGGGCCGGACACAGAGGUCAGCCGCAUGAGACAGCAGCUCCUCAAGUUCCACAACGACCUGCAUCAGGCAGAGGAGAGGGACUACCAGAUGAACUACCAGCUAGAGUGUCUCACAGAAGAGAAGCUUUGCCUGGAGAAAGAGUAUGAGUCUCAACCCAAACCAGUUGAGCUGGAGAAGCGUGCGAAGGCC